GUGGGGAAUAUUGCGCAAUGGACGAAAGUCUGACGCAGCGACGCCGCGUGAGUGAUGAAGGCCUUAGGGUCGUAAAGCUCUGUUGAAUGGGAAGAAAAAAAUGACGGUACCAUUCGAGGAAGGACCGGCUAACUUCGUGCCAGCAGCCGCGGUAAUACGAGGGGUCCUAGCGUUGUUCGGAAUCAUUGGGCGUAAAGGGUGUGUAGGUGGCCAUGUAAGUCAGGUGUGAAAGCCCCGGGCUCAACCCGGGAAGUGCACUUGAUACUGCGUGGCUUGAGUACCGAAGAGGGUAGUGGAAUUCCAGGUGUAGUGGUGAAAUACGUAGAUAUCUGGAGGAACACCGGUGGCGAAGGCGGCUACCUGGUCGAGUACUGACACUGAGACACGAAAGCAUGGGGAUCAAACAGGAUUAGAUACCCGGGUAGUCC
rnacentral:rRNA from 1 species